GUGCCGUUCAGCUGGUUUACAGCGGUGACGCUUUCUCGUCUCCGUGCUACUUCAGCUUUACAUUAAACGCAGGAGAUUUUCCCCAGCUGCUGACAGCCUCUGCUCUUUCGAAAUGUCCUCCUGUAACCUUCAUAUGAGGAUGUGACAGGAGGGCCGGCGGGGCAGAACACGUCCGCUUCCAUUUGUCAUAACGAAGCACUGUCAUGCAAGGUGUGUGUGUUGAAACACUUUUACAUCGGCAUGUGUUUGUCACCCUGGGACGGAUCCGUGUCCAUCCUCGGCAUUCCGUAAAGCAAGGCCAUGGCACCUCCCCAGGACACUACAAUGUCACAUCUUGAAAGAUGGUGUAAUUUGGAGGGAAUGGAUGGUUGAAUAACUUGACAAGGAAGGACAAGAAACUGAAUCGUUGUAUGUUUCGAUCUUGCGCAUUUGGGAAAUGUCUUUGCAGUGAUGCAACUAAUAACUAGGGCUGUGACAAUUCAUUUGUUUUGCCAAUACGCCGCCACCCAUUGCUUCUACAGGUGUGCUCAAACCAUUGAUUCAGUUAGAAAAGCAACUCACUGCAAUGGCCACUACUGAAAAAAAGUGCAUUUAAAUGUGCACUCAGAAAUACUGUAUUCACAGUCUUUGACAUAUCAUUAAUUCCACAUUUAUUCCAAGUGUCUGGGUAAAGCAAGUAAUAUUUGGCUGUUCAUGUAAUUUCAGUAUGUCUAUCCCCAUUAAGUAGCCUAAUGUAUGCUAAAUAAAUCUCAUGUGAAUGUACUUGAAUUUAAACAUGUAUUUUACAUGUGACCCUGGACCACAAAACCAGUCGUAAGUCACAUGGAUAUAUUUGUAGAAACAGCCAACAAUAUAUUGUAUGGGUCAAAAUUAUUGAUUUUUCUUUUAUGCCAAAAAUCAUUAGGGUAUUAAAUAAAGAUCAUGUUCCAUUAAUAUAUUUUGUAAAUUUUCUACUAUAAAUAUAUCAAAACUUUUGAUUAGUAAUAUGCAUUACAAGAACUUCAUUUGGACAACUUUAAAGGCGAUUUCCUCAAUAUUUAGAUCUUUUGCACCCUCAGAUUCCAGAUUUUCAAAUAGUUGUAUCUGAAAUAUUGUCCCAUCCUAACAAUCCAUACAUCGAUGGAAAGCUUAUUUAUUCAGCUUUCAGAUGAUGCAUAAAUCUCAAAAAAUUUACUCUUAGGACUGGUUUUGUGGUCCAGGGUCACAUAUGUGUUUUUGUGUUGCAGAGGUGGCUGUUCCAGAAUGGCUGUUGUUAAAGCUUUAGCUAAUUAGGGAAGAUAAUUUUGUAUUUUCUUUUUCUUUUCUUUUGACGAGGUUAGAUAGAGGGAUGGCUGAGAUUGGGGUUUUGUUUAUUGUUUUGGCCUUGUCGAAACCUAAAGUUUUCCCAAUUUAAUUUCUUUCAAUUAUCUUCAUUGUAAUAAACUCCAGCAAAUUAAGCCAAUGACUAAG